UAUGGCCCUAUCACGUUGAAACACAUGUUCCGGCACGAUCACCGAAGUUAAGCAACGUCGAGCCUGGUCAGUACCCUGAUGGGUGAUCGCUUGGGAAUGCCAGGUAUUGCAAG
rnacentral:rRNA from 1 species